UUUAAAGGUCCAGUGUGUAAUAUGUGUGGUAUUUAGUGGCCCCUAACGGUGAGGUUCGGUGGCCUUCAAGGACAAGAAGCUAUUUGCUGAACAUGUCAUCGUCCACGACAACUUCGAGCAUUUCUAACAAGUCAAGCAAUGAGAGUCAAGUACCGGAGGUUAGAGGAGGAGGAAGAGGGCGAGAAAGAGGGCGAGUUAGCGGUUCUGCUGCAGGCAGGGCCAGGCGAGGGAGGAGAGCAAACACCGGCACCGUGGAAGCAGGGGAAGAGGCUGGAAACCCUCCGAAGGGACCGAAGUGACUGAGAAACUUCUUGAAGAAAUGACCUUGGAGGAGCACAGGCAGCUCACCAGCGAACUGCUUCAGAGGCAGCCAGGGUUCAUUUCUGAUGCCUUGAUGAUGCAUCAGUGCAGGCAUGGUGUCCCACCGUUUGCUGGAGUGCCAGGGGUACCAUGGUGUACUUGUAGUAACUGUACAGACAUGCCUAUGGAACAAGAGAGGAAAUGCUGUGGCCAGUACCCUGCAGAUUGUGUAAUAAUAAUACCGCACUUCUCCCAGUGCUGUCUUGAAAAUGCUUUUUAUGCAUUCACAGGCGGUACUGGGAGGACAUUAUGGUAUUUGGCCAAACCAGGAAGCCUGGGGAUGACAUUCGGGAGUACCGUUAUGCUGCCUAUAGACAUUUCAUCUAUUGACAGCAUGGCUCUUUAGGCCAGGGAAACCAACUUGUCAUCCCCAGCUGCUGUGUGUGGAGGAUCAGGGACAAGUUCCCUGGUCCUCCAAAGACAUCACACUGGCCUCUGAGUUUCCCUCCAGGUCCUCUGGAAUGUCCACACAGUAUCUCAGGUACUCACACACCUGCCUGUUCAUCAUCAAGGCAUCAAAUCAUCUCAUAUUUAUUUGUUACA